rnacentral:rRNA from 1 species
GACGAACGCUGGCGGCGUGCCUAAUACAUGCAAGUAGAACGCACAGUUUAUACCGUAGCUUGCUACACCAUAAACUGUGAGUUGCGAACGGGUGAGUAACGCGUAGGUAACCUGCCUGGUAGCGGGGGAUAACUAUUGGAAACGAUAGCUAAUACCGCAUAAUAUUGAUUAUUGCAUGAUAAUUGAUUGAAAGAUGCUAUUGCAUCACUACCAGAUGGACCUGCGUUGUAUUAGCUAGUAGGUGAGGUAACGGCUCACCUAGGCGACGAUACAUAGCCGACCUGAGAGGGUGAUCGGCCACACUGGGACUGAGACACGGCCCAGACUCCUACGGGAGGCAGCAGUAGGGAAUCUUCGGCAAUGGACGAAAGUCUGACCGAGCAACGCCGCGUGAGUGAAGAAGGUUUUCGGAUCGUAAAGAUCUGUUGUAAGAGAAGAACGGGUGUGAGAGUGGAAAGUUCACACUGUGACGGUAUCUUACCAGAAAGGGACGGCUAACUACGUG